CCUACGGGUGGCAGCAGUGAGGAAUAUUGGUCAAUGGACGAGAGUCUGAACCAGCCAAGUAGCGUGAAGGAUGACUGCCCUAUGGGUUGUAAACUUCUUUUAUAAAGGAAUAAAACGAGGCACGUGUGCCUUUUUGACUGUACUUUAUGAAUAAGCAUCGGCUAACUCCGUGCCAGCAGCCGCGGUAAUACGUAGGAAGCGAGCGUUGUCCGGAUUUAUUGGGUGUAAAGGGAGCGUAGGCGGGACUGCAAGUUGGGUGUCAAAUCUACCGGCUCAACCGGUAUCCGCACGUAAAACUGCAGUUCUAGAGUGAAGUAGAGGCAGGCGGAAUUCCUAGAGUAGCGGUGAAAUGCGUAGAUAUUAGGCGGAACACCAGUAGCGAAGGCGGUCUGCUGGGCUUUUACUGACGCUGAGGCUCGAAAGUGUGGGGAGCAAACAGGAUUAGAUACCCGUGUAGUC
rnacentral:rRNA from 1 species